ensembl:lncRNA
AAGGAACACCAAAAAGAGCCCAAACCUUCCUGGACCGUGCUGGAAUUUGGUUCCCGCAUCAAGAUUUUGAAUUACCUGCUGAGGACGCUGACAAUCACAAGCUUUAUGUCCCUUUAUUGCAUGGCUAAAAACUGAAAAACACAAAGAUCCUUCGUGUUUUCUUAACUCAACGGGAAUAUUGCAAUCUAACAGCAAAGAAACCCCUUACUAAGUUCAUUAUGAGCUAUAUUAAAGAUGGUUUGACAGGUCACUUUUCCUCAAACAGAAAUAUAUUGUCAUAAUAUUUAAUGUUGAGUUACAGAAUACAACAGCUUCUUUCAGUAAUUAUUAACCAGUAGAGGGAGCAAUGUACACAGUAACCAAAAACCAGAGGCUGUUGCUUCUUGUGGAAAUUGUAUUAAGAAUGAUAAUUUUAAUCAAAUCUAAAUGUUCCUAUUCAGUAAUUCUGUUUUAAUGUCUUCAUGAAGUAGUUGUUGCUCUUUAAAUGUUGAGGACAAACACUUUUUUCAAAUAUGGUCAAAUAGCAUUAGACCCAAAGUAAAAUAUACUCUCAGCAUGUUUUAUUAUUAAUAAUGUAAGCGCAUGUGCUUUCUCUUCUAAAAUACUGAAGAAAAAUCCACCUCUGAUGAUCCAGAAUGAUCUAGAAUCUUGUUUGCAAAGCAAAAAAUCUUCCUCUUGUUCGACGACUUGACAUCUCUGUUAACGUUCAAGUUGUCUCCGAUUUUUUUAAAGAGAAUGCAUGGCUGAGAAAUGUAAAAGAUGCUUUAAAAAACUUGAGAAUUAUAUUCAAAGUGUAAGUGAUGCCUGCAUAUUGUAAAUGGGUUGCACAAGCUCAUAAAAAAAAAUUAGGCCGCACUUACCUUUUUUGCAUUAUUAAUAUUUUUUGUCAUCAAUUCUGUAGAAAAACAUUAAAAACACUUUGAAUCUGUAACUAAAGUAGAAUUAUAUUUAUUACUGUUUUACAAAAAAUAUCUAACUGUUCCCUUUUCUUUGAUUUUGAUUUAUAUAAUCGAUACAGUGAGUAAAGUGGCUAAUAUCCCUGAAGACAAAUCAGUGCACCAACUCAAUAGUUUAUUUGCCUGUUUGGCACACAAAUGUAGUUCAGCACGUUCUGAAUCAUCUUGCUUAAAGCAGAAUCUUAACCGAAACGGUAAUCGAUCAACAAUAUAAAAAAAAUAUUGUAAUAUUUUAAACUAAACAUGCCCAAAUAAAAUGAAUUAGUUGUAACUGGACUUGGAAACUGUCAGUGAAAUAUGUAAGUCUUUAAAAAGGAUUUAUUUCUCUUAAAUUAGUUAAGAUAUUUACUCACUGUAUCAUUUCCAGCGUGUUUACUACAGAUGUAGUACCCCAAUUUAAUAAUCUAUAAUUCAAUAAACCCCCCAAUUUUUUAGAUCGUUCUCCACUCAGCUUGUAAGAUUGCUCCCUUGAGAUGUCUCAUUUGUUUUUUUGCACAUUUCUAAAACUUUGAAUAAAAUAAGAUUUCUUAAAAAUAUUUUAAUGGGAAAUUGCACUGAGGAUAUUUUAGACGCAGGACACACAUCUUUUAAAAAUGACCACAUUAAAUGUAUUUCUUGUGAGUUAUGUACAGUACCAUGUACUCGCCUUCAUAGUUUUAUAAUCUUCUGAUUUACUGAAAUGAAUAAGUAAUUUGAUCUAAAACCUAUAGGGAAAAAAACCUAUAAUUGAAAUCAGAAUACAAGCGUGAAAAAUUCCUCACGUACAAUGAUGUAUUAAAAUUGAUGUGCCUUUUUAAAAUCUGUAUUUUUGGCAAUUUUACUUUCAUUAAAGAGCAGCAGAAUUCUUUUGUUUUUCGGGGCUUCUCAUGAUUUUUGCGAGGAGGUGGUUUUAAAAUCUUAUUUAACGCAAACUGCCAAUAAAUUGGCGGGAUAGGAGAGAAGAGUUUUGCAGUAAAUGUAUCUGGACAAUAUGCAAAAUGCAAGAUUUUAUUAUCCCUGAAUACUGAUUCUGCAAGCAUCCCUUCAGAGGCAAAUGGUCAUGUACAAAAUGGACUGGAGGAGUGUGUGACCUCACUGACAUUCCUUUCAUCCGGGUUAAGGGUCAGAUUGGGAUAGAAGUCUCUGGGGAGAUUAAAUGCGGUCACCAAGGUAACGCUAUGAACACUGGUGAUGACAAGGGUCACUCUGGCAAACGCUGACACAUAUAUUAAUCUUGAAGGUGAGAACGUGUUUAUGUUUGUUGUCUGUAUUUUGUGAAAUUGGCUUUGUUGAUUUGAAUUAUUAAUAAAUGUUUAAUUCAAU